ACACACACACACACACACACACACACACACACACACACACACUUGUAUCUGCAUCAUGUAUUCAGUUGUCCUGCAGGUCUCUAUAAUACAGUAAACAGAGAAUACACACACACACACACACACACACACACACACACACACUUGUAUCUGCAUCAUGUAUUCAGUUGUCCUGCAGGUCUCUAUAAUACAGUAAACAGUGAAUACACACACACACACACACACACACACACACACACACACACACACACACACACACACACACACACACACACACACACACACUCACACACACACACAGACACACACACACACUCACACACACACACAGACACA